rfam:Camelus ferus unplaced genomic scaffold scaffold936, whole genome shotgun sequence.
GAGGGUAAAACUCAGUGGUAGAGCGCAUGCUUAGCAUGUACGAGAUCCUGGGUUCAAUCACCAGUACCUCCA